UACGGGGGGGGUAAGCGUUGUUCGGAAUUACUGGGCGUAAAGGGCUCGUAGGCGGCCAACUAAGUCGGACGUGAAAUCCCUCAGCUUAACUGGGGAACUGCGUCUGAUACUGGAUGGCUUGGAUUUGGGAGAGGGAUGCGGAAUUCCAGGUGUAGCGGUGAAAUGCGUAGAGAUCCGGAGGAACACCAGUGGCGAAGGCGAUCUGCUAGGCCUGACCUGACACUCAGACGCGACAGCAUGGGGAGCGAACGGG
rnacentral:rRNA from 1 species